AGUGAAUAGAUACCCGGGUAGUCCUGGCCCUAAACGAUGAGCACUAGGUGUUGGAGGCAUCAAACCCUUCCAGUGCCGUAGCUAACGCAUUAAGUGCUCCGCCUGGGGAGUACGGCCGCAAGGUUAAAACUCAAAGGAAUUGACGGGGGCCCGCACAAGCGGUGGAGCAUGUUGCUUAAUUCGACGCAACGCGAAGAACCUUACCAGGCCUUGACAUCUGUCGAACCCUCCUGAAAGGGAGGGGUGCCCGCAAGGGAGCGACAAGACAGGUGGUGCAUGGCUGUCGUCAGCCCGUGUCGUGAGAUGUUGGGUUAAGUCCCGCAACGAGCGCAACCCUCACUGACUGUUGCCAGCGGAUAAUGCCGGGGACUCUGUCAGAACUGCCGGAGCAAUCCGGAGGAAGGCGAGGAUGACGUCAAGUCAGCAUGCCCCUUAUGGUCUGGGCUGCAAACAUGCUACAAUGGCCGGUACAAAGGGCUGCUAGGCCGCGAGGCUACGC
rnacentral:rRNA from 1 species